GGAGGGAGUGGCAUUUAUGCUCUCCAAAGAAGCACAGAGGGCCCUCAUCAGCUGGGAGCCCAUCAAUUCAAGAAUCAUCACUGCAAGAUUCCAAACCACCCAUAAAAGAUUCAACCUUCAAAUCAUACAUUGCUAUGCACCCACCAACAAUACUGAUGAGGAACUAAAGGACAAUUUCUACAACCAGCUACAACAUCUACUCCAGAUCAGAAAAGAAAAAGACCUUCUCCUACUCAUGGGCGACAUGAAUGCCAAGGUGGGAAAUAACAACAAUGGAUACGAACUGGCUAUGGGAAAGCAUCGACUUGGCCCCAUGAACGAAAAUGGGGAGAGAUUUGCAGAUGUAUGUGCUGACAACAAUCUGGUUCUAGGAGGGACUGUUUUCCCCCAUAAACCCAUCCACAAAGCCACCUGGAUAUCACCGGACCACUCUACCGAAAACCAAAUCGACCACAUAUGUAUAAACAGGAAGUUUAGGCACUCUCUCCUGGAUGUACGAGUGAAGAGGGGGGCAGAUGCCGGGACAGACCACCACUUACUGGCUGCAAAACUCCAACUUAAGCUGAAGCGCUGCAACAACCCCUCUGACAGCAGAACAAAAUUCAACCUACAGCUCUUCCUGAGAACUGGUGUUAGCACUAGGAAUGGGUGUCAUGGUCUGUCUGUUUCCUUGCCUUGUUUUGGUGUUUCCUGUUUUACCUUGGUAUCUCUGUUUUGUCUCUCCCCAUGUCCGGUCAAGUUUCCCUCUUGUGUGAUUACUGCUCCUAAUGUGUUCCAGCUGUUACUCGUUGCGUGCCCUGUGUUUAGUAUUUAAGCCCUUGUCUUUCCUUUGUCACUUGUCGGAUCAUUGUAGUUUGUGGUGAGUUGUGUCCUGUUCUCGAUGUUCCUUGCCUUUUGCGUAAAUAAAAUAUCCUUUACCUGAACUUUCUGCUAUUGGGUCCUACCUGCCUGCCUGCCACCCGCUAACCGUGAUAAUGGGUGGUCCAAUGAAGUAUUAAGAGCACUCUUCACCUCAGGAGCACUGUUCGUGGCCUUCUCAAGUCCAGCUCUCUCCGUUCUCCUCUAACCCGCCCUACACUGCUGGCCCUGGGGGGCAACAUGUUACUGAUUACCAAUCUGCAGAUAGGCAGCCUGUUUGGGUCUCAGCGGUCCACCUUCAUGACGCUCUGCAACGGGGCCUUCGACUCAUCGGCGGUCCUCUUCCUCGUAAUCAAGGCAGGAGGAACACGCUCUGACAUUUACCGUCAGCGCGGUUCUCAGUGAAUCAACAGCUACAUGCACCAUGCUAGCAUGUUCACACAAUAUUCACGUUGAUCUAUAGCUAAAUAAAACACCAAAUUAUUUCCUUGUUAUACGUUAAUACACACUAGACAGCUAUAAUGCAUUAAAAUUCUUUAUUAACUAUUUAUUAACUCGUUAUACUUUCAUAAACACUAGACGUGUGUGUGUGUGUGUGUGUGUGUGUGUGUGUGUGUGUGUGUGUGUGUGUGUGUGUGUGUGUGUGUGUGUGUGUGUGUGUGUGUGUGUGUGUGUGUGUGUGUGUGUGUGUGUGUGUGUGUGUGUGUGUGUGUGUGUGUGUGUGUCCGUCCAGUAGUUUGCUUUGGGACGCUGGUGUGCCUGAUCAUGGCUCUGCGGCUGUGUUCUCCCUGCUGCAGUUCCCCUUCACCAUCCUCAUCAAUAGACUGCUAGGAGGAGACCCGCUCUGGUUCAGUACAGCAAGCUCAUAUCUAAUACCGCAGUGGUUCUCAAACCUUUUCUACUGGUGUACCGCCAUUACGAUUAUUCAGCUAACUUCCCCCUUCACCGGCACAAAAAAAAAGCUUUAAGAAUUUAAACUUUUUCAGGUUGAUCUUUUUUAAACUUGGCUAUUCUUUUUUUAUUAUUACGUUUAAAAGAAAUCUGAGUACCCCCUCCAUCCAUCCUCCUUCUAUUUUACGCUACAUCUCUGUACCCCUGCCCAUCCCCAGAGCACCAGGGGGUGUCAGUAUAGGCUGAAUGUAGGGGUUCUAGCAGCAGUACUGUGCAGUGCGCCUUGGGUUUACAGCCUGCCGAAGCUUUCUAUUUGAUGAUCUACUAAGAUGCUUAAGACCAGAGCUUCCUCCAGGGGGUAUGUCUUGAUAUAUUAUUUCUACCCCUCUCUCUCAGGUGAACGUGGUCCUGACACUGCUCUCUCUGUUGGCCUUCCUCCACCCUCUCAACGUUCACCUGCACUGUCGCAAGCUGGCCUCCCAGAGGUGCCAGAAGGCAGGGGACUACGUCUCCUCAUAACAGCUCCCUCUCCCUCCCUCUCCUCUCUUCUUCUCUCCUCCCCUCUCCUCUUCUCUCCUCUACCCUCCUCUCCUCGAUUCUCUCCUCUCCUCU